UGCCACUGCCGUGGGGCUUGUCUACAGUUACAUUUUAUAGCGCUCUAACUUGCUGACUCAGGGGGGUGAAAAUCACUCCCCUGAGUGUAGCAAGUUUGAGUGCUUUAAAGCGCUCGUGUGGAUGGGCUCUGAGCGCUGGGAGCC